rnacentral:rRNA from 1 species
GUAAUAUAUAGUUAACGUGCCUCUUAGCCUGGGAUAGCCACUGGAAACGGUGAUUAAUACUGGAUACUCCUUCUAACUUAAUGUUAGUCGGGAAAGGUUUUUCGCUAAGAGAUCGGACUAUAUUGUAUCAGCUAGUUGGGGAGGUAAUGGCUCACCAAGGCAAUGACACAUAGCGGGUUUGAGAGGAUGAUCCGCCACACUGGUACUGAGACACGGACCAGACUCCUACGGGAGGCAGCAGUGAGGAAUAUUGCACAAUGGGGGAAACCCUGAUGCAGCAACGCCGCGUGGAGGAUGACGCAUUUCGGUGUGUAAACUCCUUUUAUAAGAGAAGAAAAUGACGGUAUCUUAUGAAUAAGUCCCGGCUAACUCCGUGCCAGCAGCCGCGGUAAUACGGAGGGGACAAGCGUUAUUCGGAAUCACUGGGCGUAAAGGACGCGUAGGCGGGUUAUUAAGUCGGGUGUGAAAUCCAAUGGCUCAACCAUUGAACUGCAUUCGAAACUGGUGACCUAGAGUAUGGAAGGGGCAGGUGGAAUUAGUGGUGUAGGGGUAAAAUCCGUAGAUAUCACUAGGAAUACCUAAAGCGAAGGCGAUCUCCUGGAACAUAACUGACGCUAAGGCGUGAAAGCGUGGGGAGCAAACAGGAUUAGAUACCCUGGUAGUCCACGCCCUAAACGAUGAACACUAGUCGUCGUGAUGCUUGUCAUUGCGGUGAUGCACUUAACAGAUUAAGUGUUCCGCCUGGGGAGUACGGUCGCAAGAUUAAAACUCAAAGGAAUAGACGGGGACCCGCACAAGUGGUGGAGCAUGUGGUUUAAUUCGAAGAUACGCGAAGAACCUUACCUAGCCUUGACAUUGAUUGAAUCUUUCAGAGAUGAGAGAGUGCCUUUCGGGGAACAUGAAAACAGGUGCUGCACGGCUGUCGUCAGCUCGUGUCGUGAGAUGUUGGGUUAAGUCCCGCAACGAGCGC